rnacentral:pre_miRNA from 1 species
AAUUUUGCGUAAAACUCGGUCCAGUUGGUGUUGACAUUAUUACCUCGUCACUGGGCAAAGUUUUUCGCAAAAU